CUUAUAGUCUAGAGGGGACACAGUGAAACAGAGCCUCAGGCUGCGUCUCUGUCUGAAAACUCCAAGUCGGAGGUUUCGGCUAGAGGAACGUGGCACGCUGAAGGCGAGGCCGACGCGGCUCCUUUUGAGCGGAAACGUUGAAGAAACUGUGAGGCAAGAAGGCCCCGCGAUGACGGCUCCUGCCACGCUCGCGUGUGCACAGCGAUGAAAUGCAUCAUCAGUGGCGUUUUCUCCUAGCACGAAAGACAACUAUAUGAAGUGCAAAUCUACGGACGUACAUAUACGAGCCAAGCACACAGUUUUCGCUCGCAGAGACCCUAUCUUGUCUUGACGGCAGUGUUAUCGCCUCAGAAACUGGCUCCCAGUUUGCAGUUUGAGAUGCAUUAUUGUGUGAGGCUUUGCUUUGCCUCGUCUUAAGCCGUCGAGUCGUUCCCGACUCAAAACGACACCACGGACACAUCUCUCACAGAAGGCCCCGCUCUCCAUCUGCAGUUGUUCCGGUAUGGA